rfam:Exiguobacterium sp. AT1b, complete genome.
AUAAAGGCAUCGAUGAGGAAAGUAAGCGGUACGACACGUUGCAGAGACUAGAACCUAGGCUGGGAGUUCUAGAUGUGUCCCCCGAAGAAGUGCACCUCGGAGCCGUCUCGGCGAUAUGUAGUCGAGGCCGUGACUCGGCGUUAACGAGACUUGAGAGGGGAACGCAUUUUCCCAAACAGAGUGGAACCGCGCUUACGGCGUCUCUGUG